GCAAAAUGCCUCCGUAACUUCGGGAGAAGGAGGCCCCGUUGCUGCGCAAGCAGUGGCGGGGGGCACAAACUAGGGGGUGGCGACUGUUUACUAAAAACACAGGACUCUGCGAAGCCCAAAGGCGACGUAUAGGGUCUGACGCCUGCCCGGUGCCGGAAGGUUAAAAGGAGGGGUGCAAGCUCCGAAUUGAAGCCCCGGUAAACGGCGGCCGUAACGAUAACGGUCCUAAGGUAGCGAAAUUCCUUGUCGGGUAAGUUCCGACCCGCACGAAAGGUGUAACGAUUUGGGCACUGUCUCAACAAAGGAUCCGGUGAAAUUGUAGUAGUCGUGAAGAUGCGACUUACCCACGCUAGGACGGAAAGACCCCGUGGAGCUUUACUGUAGGCUGAUAUUGGAUUUUGAGAUUAGAUGUACAGGAUAGUUGGGAGGCGAUGAUACGUGCACGCCAGUGUGCGCUGAGCCAUCCUUGGGAUACCAACCCUCUAAUAUCAAAAUUCUAACAUUGACCCUUAAUCAGGGCAAAGGACAUUGUCAGUUGGGCAGUUUGACUGGGGCGGUCGCCUCCCAAAAAGUAACGGAGGCGUUCAAAGGUUCGCUCAGAAUGGACGGAAACCAUUCGCAGAGUACAAAGGCAAAAGCGAGCUUAACUGCGAGAGAUACAGCUCAAGCAGAGUAGAAAUACGGACUUAGUGAUCCGGUGGCACCGCAUGGAAGGGCCAUCGCUCAACGGAUAAAAGCUACCCCGGGGAUAACAGGCUUAUCUCCCCCAAGAGUCCACAUCGACGGGGAGGUUUGGCACCUCGAUGUCGGCUCGUCUCAUCCUGGGGCUGAAGUAGGUCCCAAGGGUUGGGCUGUUCGCCCAUGAAAGCGGUACGCGAGCUGGGUUCAGAACGUCGUGAGACAGUUCGGUCCCUAUCCAGCGUGGGCGUAAGAAAUUUGCGAGGACCUGUCCUUAGUACGAGAGGACCGGGAUGGACAUACCACUGGUGUACCAGUUGUUCCGCCAGGAGCAUAGCUGGGUAGCUAAGUAUGGAAUUGAUAAGUACUGAAAGCAUCUAAGUACGAAGCAACCCUCAAGAUAAGAUUUCUAAAAGUACGUAAAGAAAAUACGUUAGAUAGGUCCAAGGUGUAAGUGCAGUAAUGCAUUAAGCUAAUGGAUACUAAAC
rnacentral:rRNA from 1 species